UGGGGAAUUUUGGACAAUGGGCGAAAGCCUGAUCCAGCAAUGCCGCGUGUGUGAAGAAGGCCUUCGGGUUGUAAAGCACUUUUGUCCGGAAAGAAAUCCUUGGCUCUAAUACAGUCGGGGGAUGACGGUACCGGAAGAAUAAGCACCGGCUAACUACGUGCCAGCAGCCGCGGUAAUACGUAGGGUGCAAGCGUUAAUCGGAAUUACUGGGCGUAAAGCGUGCGCAGGCGGUUUGCUAAGACCGAUGUGAAAAUCCCCGGGCUCAACCUGGGAACUGCAUUGGUGACUGGCAGGCUAGAGUAUGGCAGAGGGGGUAGAAUUCCACGUGUAGCAGUGAAAUGCGUAGAGAUGUGGAGGAAUACCGAUGGCGAAGGCAGCCCCCUGGCCAAUACUGACGCUCAUGCACGAAAAGCGUGGGGAGCAAACAGGAUUAGAUACCCUGGUAGUCCACGCCCUAAAACGAUGUCAACUAGUUGUUGGGGAUUCAUUUCCUUAGUAACGUAGCUAACGCGUGAAGUUGACCGCCUGGGGAGU
rnacentral:rRNA from 1 species